GACGAACGCUGGCGGCGUGCUUAACACAUGCAAGUCGAACGGAAAGGCCCCCAUCUUGGUGGGGGUGCUCGAGUGGCGAACGGGUGAGUAACACGUGGGUGAUCUGCCCUGUACUUCGGGAUAAGCUUGGGAAACUGGGUCUAAUACCGGAUAGGACCAUGGUUUAGUGUCUCAUGGUGGAAAGAUUAUUGUUUUGGUGCAGGAUGAGCUCGCGGCCUAUCAGCUUGUUGGUGGGGUAAUGGCCUACCAAGGCGUCGACGGGUAGCCGGCCUGAGAGGGUGGACGGCCACAUUGGGACUGAGAUACGGCCCAGACUCCUACGGGAGGCAGCAGUGGGGAAUAUUACACAAUGGGCGCAAGCCUGAUGCAGCGACGCCGCGUGGGGGAUGACGGCCUUCGGGUUGUAAACUCCUUUCGUUAGGGACGAAGCCGCACUUUUUUUGGGUGUGGUGACGGUACCUUUGUUAAGAAGCACCGGCUAACUACGUG
rnacentral:rRNA from 1 species